CGACAUGGUAAAUGCCCAGAAAACCGCAGCCGGCGAACGAAAUGCUCCAGGACGAGUCCUCGGGCCGCAGCAUCUCCUCUGCGGCGGGAGUGACAGCAACUUACAAAGGUGCCCCUGGCAGAAGAUGGACCUUGCACCAUUGCUCGGACAGAUCUACAGACGCUCCAACGGUGUACCUGGUAGGGUACUGAAAAUCUGUGCCGACCAACUGGCUGGAGUGUUCAGGGACAUCUUCAACAUCUCAGUGCUGCAGUCGGAGGUUCCCACCCGCUUCAAUCAUACCGGUGCCCAAGAAGAGCAGGAAUCUCAGAUGGUGACAAGGAGGCGUACAGGAGUGAGACAGAUCGGCUGGUU